AUUGAGUGUGAUCUUGGCUUGGAGUUAAUGCUGGCUAAACGUCUAACACAUGCAAGUUGUACGGGUAAUUCUAGUAAGUUUUAUCAGUAGCGUCGUGGUGAGUAACGUGGUUAUGAUAGGUUCUUUUAUAUUAAAUAUAUAUUUAAAUGUUGAAGAAACGUUAUACCGCAUAGGAUUAAGUAUACCCGACCUAGUCGGGUGCUUAUGAUCUUUAGUUGAUUUGAGAGAAGGAUCAACCACAUAGGGUAUGAAAACCACCCUACCUAAUGGCAGCAGUGAAGAAUAUUAGGCAAUGCACGAAAGUGUGACCUAUCGAAUUAGCGGGAAUGAAGAAAGCUACAGUAGCUGUAAAGUUUAUACGUAUACAAGAAUUAUGAUGUAAUGUAUAAGGAGAAGUCAUGGCAAAUACAGGUGCCAGCAGCCGCGGUAAUACCUGAGUGAUAAGCAUUAUUCGUAAUAACUGGGUGUAAAGGAUGUGUAGGAAAUUUUAAAAAGUAACUGACUAAAUUCUUGGAAAAGAUGAGCUUUUGCUGAUUAUAAAUAUUUGAGUAUCUGGAGAGAGUUGAAGUGUGUCUAAAUAGUGAUAAAAUACUAAGAUUUAGCCAUUCUUGCCAAUUGUAUAAUUAACGGCUCUUACAGAUUCUGACUCUGAAACAUUAAAGUAAGGGAAAUAAACAGGAUUAGAGACCCUGGUAAUCCUUACCCUAAAUGAUGAUUAUUUAAAGUUAACGCUAAAUAGUCCACCAGGUGAGUAUAGUUGCAAAGUUCAAAGUUAACAGAAUUGGCGGGGGUUAGCACGAAUGGUGGAACAUGUGGUUUAAUGCGAUAAUCCACGUAGAACCUUACCACAGUUUAAAAAGCAUGAUAGGAGUUGUUGAAGCUACUAACUCUCAAGUUUUUAGUGGAUCUCUCGCACUGGCAUGUACAUAGGUAUUGCAUGGCUGUCGUCAGCACGUGUUGUGAUGUGUAGAAUUAAGUUUUUGUAACGAGCGCAACCUUUGGGUCUUUGUUAAAUUUAAGGCAAAUUGCAAGUUUUAUUUUUAACUACCAAAGCUGAAGUCAAGUCCUCAUGGUCUGUGUAUUGUGGGCUACACACGUGUUACAAUGGUAAAAACAAAAAAUCUCGAAAAAGAAAUUUUAAGGAAGUUUGAAAAAUUACCCUAGUACGAAUACAUUUCUGAAACUUGAAGUGUUGAAGGAGAAAUCAUUAGUAACCGUAGAUUAGUAUGUUACGGUGAAUUAAAAAACUAACCUUGCACACACCGCCCAUCACAUUCGGAAAAUUUGUAAUUUAGUAAAAAUAUUAAUGUAGCUUGUUUUAUUUAGUAAAAAUUUUUUACAAAUGUAGAUUUUUUUUUUUUUAAAUUAAACAACUUUUAGGAAAUAAUUUUCUUAGAAA
rnacentral:rRNA from 1 species